AGAGUGAACGCUGGCGGUAGGCCUAACACAUGCAAGUCGAACGGCAGCACAGUGGUAGCAAUACCAUGGGUGGCGAGUGGCGGACGGGUGAGGAAUACAUCGGAAUCUACCUUUUCGUGGGGGAUAACGUAGGGAAACUUACGCUAAUACCGCAUACGCCCUUCGGGGGAAAGCCGGGGAUCGCAAGACCUGGCGCGGAUAGAUGAGCCGAUGUCGGAUUAGCUAGUUGGUGAGGUAAUGGCUCACCAAGGCGACGAUCCGUAGCUGGUCUGAGAGGAUGAUCAGCCACACUGGAACUGAGACACGGUCCAGACUCCUACGGGAGCAGCAGUGGGGAAUAUUGGACAAGU
rnacentral:rRNA from 1 species